AGGGGGCACCUGAUCAGCCAUGCCGCGUGUGUGAAGAAGGCCUUUUGGUUGUAAAGCACUUUAAGCAGUGAAGAAGACUCCAUGGUUAAUACCCAUGGACGAUGACAUUAGCUGCAGAAUAAGCACCGGCUAACUCUGUGCCAGCAGCCGCGGUAAUACAGAGGGUGCAAGCGUUAAUCGGAAUUACUGGGCGUAAAGCGAGCGUAGGUGGCUUAAUAAGUCAGAUGUGAAAGCCCCGGGCUUAACCUGGGAACGGCAUCUGAUACUGUUAGGCUAGAGUAGGUGAGAGGAAGGUAGAAUUCCAGGUGUAGCGGUGAAAUGCGUAGAGAUCUGGAGGAAUACCGAUGGCGAAGGCAGCCUUCUGGCAUCAUACUGACACUGAGGUUCGAAAGCGUGGGUAGCAAACAGGAUUAGAUACCCUGGUAGUCCACGCCGUAAACGAUGUCUACUAGUCGUUGGGUCCCUUGAGGACUUAGUGACGCAGCUAACGCAAUAAGUAGACCGCCUGGGGAGUACGGCCGCAAGGUUAAAACUCAAAUGAAUUGACGGGGGCCCGCACAAGCGGUGGAGCAUGUGGUUUAAUUCGAUGCAACGCGAAGAACCUUACCUGGUCUUGACAUAUCUAGAAUCCUGCAGAGAUGCGGGAGUGCCUUCGGGAAUUAGAAUACAGGUGCUGCAUGGCUGUCGUCAGCUCGUGUCGUGAGAUGUUGGGUUAAGUCCCGCAACGAGCGCAACCCUUGUCCUUAGUUACCAGCGGUUUGGCCGGGAACUCUAAGGAUACUGGCCAGUGACAAACUAGGAGGAAGGCGGGGGACGACGUCCAAGUCAUCGUGGGCCCUUAGGACCAUGGCGUUACCCACAGUGCUACGAUGGUAGAGUACAGAGAGAGGCAGCUACGGUGCGA
rnacentral:rRNA from 1 species